rnacentral:misc_RNA from 1 species
AGUUCAAAACGAAAAGCUGGUAAUAGUAUCUUGAGUGCUCCAAAUCUAUUCACGUCCUCAUUUAAGGUACCUAAAUUAAAAAUGUCAUCUCCCUGUGUGACAUGACCUCUGUCACCAGAAAUUCGGCUUGUAUCUAUAUUAGAUGAUAGAUUUUCGGUACAUAUGUUCAUUUAUUGGAUCUUGGUUCUUCAAGCUAUGUGACAGUAAAUUUCAG